CAUUAGUCUAGGGUAUCUACAACCUCCUCCAUGUCCAGUGACUUGUGGACUGAAGAGCUAGCCGCAAAGUUCGAACUUCCUGCAAUUACUGAACUGAACUGAACCAUGGUAAAUGAAAGGUGAACUGAGAUGUUGGAGGACUGGGUUAUUUAACUAAACCAUGGUAACUGGAAAUCGUGCAUGUCAGAACCAUGCAAAGUGAGGCCUGUGUGUACAUGAUGCAGUUCAGCACUGGUAUCCAAUGGAACCUAAACACAAUGGAGAUUUGAUAUCUACCACCAUCCAUUAAAAAAGGCAUUAAUGAUCCAGCCAUACCGCUGCUAGACACCGGAGAGAAA
rnacentral:lncRNA from 1 species